CCAAGGGGAUGGACUCCUUCACAUCCAUAUUCUGCUCCUCUCUAAAAACCCAACGAGGAUGGCCUUGUAGCAUAUCAGAGACACAGCUGGAGAUGGCUCUUGGUGAGUGAGGGGUGGAGCUGACAGAGUACAAGUGCCCAGCCCAAUUUGACAAACCACUUUGCUCAGAAGCUAAGAGGAAAGUCCCAGCACUCUGCUGACCUUUCUUUUAGAACGGCAGCACCAGCAAAUUUUGCAGAAUUUGAGAAUAUUGAUAAAUUUUAAUACUAAGCUGCUUUUUUUUUUUUUUCCCUAAAUAUUCUGAAGAAGUUGCAGUUUGUACAAAGUUGGGACCAAUUAAUAUUUAGUUUGGCCUAAGUAAACUAUGUUCUGACUUCUGAGUAAGUCCUAUCUGCAGGGCUCAUUGUGUGCUUCUGGACAAACACAGUCGUACCCGCUGUGACUCACACUCCCAUGGUCUCUUUCCAGCACCUACGCAUGACUCAGAGACAUCACUCUGAUCACUAUCACUGAGGUCAGCUUCAGAAGAGAACAAAGUCUAUUAUUUGAGGGUUUGUUUUGUCCUCUGUGGAUCCUUAACGUAGCAGGCAGAUAUAUCAGCCCCAACCCUUGUCUCACUCACAGACCUCCAGCUUGCGGUGGGCCUGAAGUGUUGUGCUGUGCAGCACAGCCAGUUCAUCUUAAGCUCUUUGCAGUUGCUUCCUUUAUGCAUUUAUACCUUUUCCUUUCAGAAAAGUUUGCCCCUCUGCCUUUUAGGGGAAGAAAGUUAAUCCAUUCUUAUUCUACAAGAGAUACCAAAGUGGAGGGGGACAAACUUUUCUACCAGAGACUUCUGUCUGCUCUCUCUCUGUUGAGAGCAGCAGGUUCAGGAGGGCUCUGAGGGUGGGCACACCUGGCAGUUCAGAAGCCAGUAGGUCUGCCUAGCUGUACAGAAGCAAGGGGAGCUUUAAGUCUCAUGACAUGGUGCUGGCUGCUAGAAACAGUGUACUUUUCUGGAGACCCUGUAGUUUCAGAGCGGAAGCUGAGGUUUCCCUUUCUGUGCUGGUGUGGAGCUGGGCUCUGUCAGAUGAGUCAUAUUACUGGGUGAAUGACCAGCACGCGGAAAGGAGAAGUUCUGUUUGAUAGAGAUGCAACACAUCGGA
ensembl:lncRNA